rnacentral:lncRNA from 1 species
CCAAGGCAGAACCGCAGGCGCCAAGCAUCGACAACGGACUCGGGCAGUGAGUAUGCCAAGGCCCAGAGAAGGGUAUGGGGCCAGUAUGGUGUGCAACGAGGUUCAUAGCCUAUCCAUCUCACACCUGCUUUGGCAUAUCCAUCUGUUGAUGGGACAAAGAAUGAUGAUCUCUUUAUUGAUGCCAUCUUUGUUGCCACGUAUAACGGAACCUGCAUCCACAAAAUCUCCAUUAGAAAUGGCAAAAAUCAUAGCAAAUUUUGCACACAUAAAAGCAAACCAAUCAUGGCAUUUGGAAGAGUUUAGAGAGAAACAAUUGGGGCUUGGGAAAACAACCUAGGAAAUAAGUUAGUGUAAAUAGCUUUUGACCUUCUAAUAAGGACGUUUUAGUUUAUUUCGGUAAAAAACUUAUUGAAUGAAUGCUUAAUAAACUGUUUACAUAAACAAAUAUUUCAGUGGACAGUUCUCCUACUGUUGGAAAAAGAAAGUUCGGAUGGGCUAAGGGAAAAAAAAUAGCAGAGGCAUCCAUGAAAGUAAAAUUGUACUUUGCCUGCACCUAAUAAAUCACAUAAGUAAUCAGCUAACUAUUCCACACAAAGCUUAUCCCCGAAGAACCACCAUUGCCAUUUGCCACUCACUUCAAAACCCAAAAAAAGUACUAAAGUUGAACAUGAAUGACCAAUAUUUGAAACCCCACAAAAUCAAUCCCAUUUCUUCAUUGAGUCAACCCAUUGGAGAUAUCCACAGAGUGAGAAAGCUUCUAAACAAUACUGAAUCGCUAAAAUCUGACCCUCAAAUGCCAGAAAUUGUCAACACUUAGGUUUGAUGGGGUGAACCAAAAUCCCAACUUGUGUGCCUCACCAAGAUCCCAUCCUUGUUGUUGUCCACCACUGUUGCACAUGUUGAUCGAGGAUCUGGUGGUGGACAUGACCAAUUUCUACAACUACUAUAAGAGCAUCGAGCCGUGGAUAAAGAAGAACCAACAGAGAAAAAAGGAUAAGGCUAAGCUAAAUGGGAUGUACGACUCAUAUAGUAUGAGGGCAGAGAUUGUACGGGAUAUAGCACAUCAUGGGAUGCUAACAGGUGACGGAAAGAGUGUGGGCCAAUGGUAGCCCCAGUUAUCAAUGCCUCGGGUAGCACAUGGACAUGGUUGAAGGUAAAAGCAAGAACAUAAUUCAAUACCUGACACUGCACGUCAAUCCCAUACUUCUUGUAUUCCACAUAGAGACAUCUAGAAAAUUGAUCGACGUACCUUAAGCAACAAACAUAAAAUCUCAGUUCACCGCAUAAAACAACAUAGCAUAGCACACAUAUUGCAUAUACUCUGAAUCCAAAUAAAAUCACAAAAUAGAACAAAACUCAGCACAUGUAAGUCAUUUAGUGGAGCACAAACUUGGAUGCGCUUAAAUAAGCAUCUUAAUUAAGCUUUUAUUACAUAAGUGUUAAACCUUCCUAUAAGCUCCCCUCACCUUAUUUCAAUAAGCUUAUAAAAAGGUUGUAACUUAUUUUCAUAAGCUCUUCCAAACACCUAUUUAACUGCUUAUAUGGUAAAAUAAAAGCCAUAUAAGCUCGCUAUAACUUCUCCUAAAAGACUCCUACUUGUAUUUAAUUAUAAGCUAUCUUACAUAUAAAAUAAUCUAAACAUUUUUAAGGAAAGUCAUAAUCUAUCUUCAUAAGCUCUCUACAAGCUAUUAGAAUUACAAUCUCCUCUAAAUCUCAGUACAUGUAAGUGGAACACAAACUUUCUACCUAAUUAUUUAUAAAAUGCUUGGUUUUUAAUCACUUAAAUACCAAUUAUAAGUGAUAUUGAACACAAAAAAACAAACACUUACGCUUUAGAUGCAGCAUAAACAGCAUAAAGCGGAUCAGAAGGAAUAACAAUAGCAGCACCAGAACCAAUAUUAACAAUAGCACCUUUCUUCCUUUUAAGCAUACCAUUCAACACAAGUUGAGUAACCUUAGUAGUCCCUUCAAUAUUCACCUUAAUCAAAUUCCUCAAAAUCUCAUCAUCCACUUCAUGGAAGAAUCUAGCAUAAGGGUAAGAAACCCCAACAUUGUUCACCAAUACCCCAACAUCAAUCCCUUCAAUCGCUUCUCUAAUCUUCUCCAUCCCAGAAUCUAGAUCACCUGAGAAAUCGACAACAACCGUGACAACCUUAAUUUUCCCGAACUCGGCGGCGAUUGAAUCAGAGACAAGCUUAAGCUUCUCCGGGCUGCGCCCGACAAGGACGAGGUUGAGUCCCUUCCGGGCGAGCUCAAAGGCGAAACCUUUGCCGAUGCCGUCGGUGGGGCCGGUGAUGAGGGCCCAAGAUCCAUACUUCAUGAGGUUUUUGGAGGGUCUGAGGAAAUUGACGUAGACCCAUUUGAGGAAAAUGAAGGAGAAACGAACGAGGGUGAUGGAACCAAGAGAGAAGAGGAAGAGGACCCAUAAAGGUUGGGUUUUGAGGUUGGAGAAUAUGCACCAUUCCAUUGAAUGUGUGUCAAACAAGAGAAGAGAGUUUCGUCUUAGUUAUAAAGAGAAGAGAAAUGAAGUUUUUUUUUUUUUUUGUUUCCUACGGAUCUUUGCACACCACUAGAGACAAUCUUGUCCGUCGGUAACAUCAGUAUAUUGGGCUAAUUCUUCCAGUAAAAAUUAUUUUUUUUAUUUACAAGACUCGAAUCUAAGAUCUUACUUAAAAAUGAAUCAAGUAUAUACCACUUGAACUGACACCUGUUGCUUAAAUGAAGUAAUUUAUAUUAUGGGAAGAGUUUGGAGCAUUUAUCUUAUCAUUUUUCUAAUUUUUCUUUUGACAUAUUUUGAAUUCAAGCAUGGUGGCAAGACCAACUAAGCUUGUAACUUCCAUGACAGCAGGGGCUGGAGCUCUUGAUUGCAGAAAAGGCUAUAUCUGCUAGAAUCAUAAGAAAUGAAUUAAUCAAAGAAAAAUGUUAAAUACACAUAAGUUGUAUUGACACAUCUUUCAUACAUUAAAGUGUAAGUAUACAAAGAAACAAGGUAAGAUAAUUUGUUAGUUGUUAUCUGAAAUUGAAAGUUAUACAAAACAAAAGUGAAAUAAUUUGAGGCUGCAAUAUUUAAUCAUUAUCAAAAUAUGUUGCAUCUUUGGUCCUUAUCCCCCAAAUAUAAAAUAAAUUCUGAUCUAUGGAAUCUUGAUUAUUCUUUGCCUUAACUCAUUACAAGUUGCAUUGUUAAUCACAUGAGGAAUCAAUGAUUAAGAUAAUGAGUUAUUGAUCUUCUCAAAGAGGGAUUAAUGAAGUGAGAUAGGACUAAUAAUAUUGAGAAAAUCAAAGUUUGGACAAAGUAUAUAAUGUCUAGAAAUGAAGUUUAAGUUCAUUAAUUAAUUAAUUUUUUGUGUGGGAAGGAAAAAGAAUAGGCCAAUCCAUUGAUACAAGGAGGUUUAUUUUGAAAUAUUGCAUAUUUUGUAAAAUAUGAUCAUUGCAACAAUAACAUCAUCAAAUUGCAAGUUUAUAGUCAAAAGCUUAAUAAUUUCUUAAUCAAAUACAACAUUCCAUUCAAUUCAAUUCAUUAGAUUGAUCAUUUCUUAAGUUCAUUUUCCUACUCAACAUUUUCCACUGUAUCAGUUCAACAUCAUAGAACAGUGAACAGAAACAACCAAAAAUAGGGAAGGAAAAGGAAUAGGCCAAUCCAUUGAUACAACUCAUAAGGUCUAACAACAAAAUCAGAAACAUAAAAGCCACUUGAACCUUAAUCUACCAUCAGUAAACUCUUAAUUCAGUCAUCGAAAUGGUGACGGGUCACCAUUUCGAUCCUUCAAAGACUUGUGUCGCGAUAAAAGUCGGUAGAAGUUUUAAGAACUUAACUGGUGACACUUAUUGUGCCACAACAUGGUGGCAUUUAUUCGGGGACACGAAUGUUUAAAGGGCCUAAGUGAUAACAUUGUCAUCUUUGGAAGAUUGAAGUGAUGGUUUACUUAGCUGCAUAAAUAAGCAACAUAUAUGCCUACACAUUAGAAGCAUGCAUCCUUUCAUUCCUUUUUCUUUGAGUCCUUGAGCUGCCCCCUCUUUCGAAUACCGAGGCAAAACCGUAGGCGCCAAGCAUCAACGACAGACUCUGGCAAUGAGUAUGCCAAGGCCCAGAGAAGGGUAUGGGGCCAGUACGGUGUGCAACGAGGUUCAUAGCCUAUCCAUCUCACACCGGCUUUGGCAUAUCCAUCUGUUGAUGGAACAAAGAAUGAUGAUCUCUUUAUUGAUGCCAUCUUUGUUGCUACAUAUAAUGGAACCUGCAUCCCCAAAAUCUCCAUUAGAAAGGCCGAAAAUCAUAGCAAACUUGGCACACGUAAAAGCGAAUCAGUCCAUGUUGUUUGAAAGGGUUUCUAGAGAACUAACUUAAGCUUGUCAACAAUUGAAAUUGAUUAACUCGAACACAUCAAGAGUAACCAAUUGACUAAAAC